UGGGGAAUAUUGGACAAUGGGGGAAACCCUGAUCCAGCAAUGCCGCGUGAGUGAAGAAGGCCUUAGGGUUGUAAAGCUCUUUCGCCCGCGAAGAUAAUGACGGUAGCGGGAGAAGAAGCCCCGGCUAACUCCGUGCCAGCAGCCGCGGUAAUACGGAGGGGGCUAGCGUUGUUCGGAAUUACUGGGCGUAAAGCGUACGUAGGCGGAUGCGCAAGUUGGGGGUGAAAUCCCGGGGCUUAACCUCGGAAUUGCCCUCAAAACUGCACGUCUUGAGACCGAGAGAGGUAAGGGGAAUUCCUAGUGUAGAGGUGAAAUCCGUAGAUAUUAGGAAGAACACCAGUGGCGAAGGCGCCUUACUGGCUCGGUACUGACGCUGAGGUACGAAAGCGUGGGGAGCAAACA
rnacentral:rRNA from 1 species